GAUGGAACAGACGGUGGUUCUGUGUCCCGGUCCAGAGUAUAGUUCUGUUAUUGAACUCUGGUUGAUGGAACAGACAGUGGUUCUGUGUCCCGGUCCAGAGAAUAGUUCUGUUAUUGAACUCUGGUUGAUGGAACAGACGGUGGUUCUGUGUCCCGGUCCAGAGAAUAGUUCUGUUAUUGAACUCUGGUUGAUGGAACAGACAGUGGAACAGUAUGUUGAGGGAGAGCUAAAUGAGAGGAAUAAUUUAACUUCAGUGUUUCUGUCUCUUGUACAGAUGGAACUACAAACCGUUUGUUUUAUAGUUGUUCUUUGUGCUGGUAACGUCCUUGAAUAAUUGUGUGUCUCAGAAAACUAGCGUAGUGCCGUCUUAAGCCAGAUCCAUCCGUUUGUUUAGACUUCUGUUUAAUCCUGAAUGUGGACCACAAAAGGAAUCUACUACAGUAUGUCUGGGAAGACCCUAGUAAACACUGCCACACAGUUUCUGCUCUAACAUAGACCAGUCUAGCCUAAGUGAAGCAUUUCAUGUAGAAUCCAAGAAUACAACCAGUCACCAGCAGCUUCAUAAGCAGUAGAAAAACAACACCACUCUGUGUGUUGGACAGAUCCUGUCAGGAUAGAUGUCAGUAUGUUGUGUGUUGGACAGAUCCUGUCAGGAUAGAUGUCAGUAUGUUGUGUGUUGGACAGAUCCUGUCAGGAUAGAUGGCAGUAUGUUGUGUGUUGGACAGAUCCUGUCAGGAUAGAUGGCAGUAUGUUGUGUGUUGGAUAGAUGGCAGUAUGUUGUGUGUUGGACAGAGCCUGUCAGGAUAGAUGGCAGUAUGUUGUGUGUUGGACAGAUGGUAGUAUGAUAGAUGGCAGUAUGUUGAACCUCCUCUGUGUGUUGGACAGAGCCUGUUAGAUGGCAGUAUGUUGACCCUGAGAACUAGGACUGACCCCUGAGCCCUGAGAAGUAGGACUGACCCCUGAGCCCUGAGAAGUAGGACUGAGCCCUGAGAAGUAGGACUGAGCCCUGAGAAGUAGGACUGAGCCCUGAGAAGUAGGACUGAGCCCUGAGAAGUAGGACUGAGCCCUGAGAAGUAGGACUGAGCCCUGAGAAGUAGGACUGAGCCCUGAGAAGUAGGACUGAGCCCUGAGAAGUAGGACCCAUUUUUUUUUUAUUACCUUUGUUUAACAAGGUCAGUUAAGAACAAAUUCUUAUUUUCAAUGACGGCCUACUGGGGAACAGUGGGUUAACUGCCUUGUUCAGGGGCAGAACAACAGAUUUGUACCUUGUCAGCUCAGGGAUUUGAACUUGUAACCUUUCGGUGACUAGCUCAACGCUCUAACCACUAGGCUACCCUGCCGCCCCUCUCUAACCACUAGGCUACCCUGCCGCCCCUCCUCUCUAACCACUAGGCUACCCUGCCGCCCCUCCCCUCUAACCACUAGGCUACCCUGCCGCCCCUCCACUCUAACCACUAGGCUACCCUGCCGCCCCUCCACUCUAACCACUAGGCUACCCUGCCGCCCCUCCACUCUAACCACUAGGCUACCCUGCCGCCCCUCCACUCUAACCACUAGGCUACCUGCCGCCCCUCCACUCUAAACACUAGGCUACCCUGCCGCCCCUCCACUCUAACCACUAGGCUACCCUGCCGCCCCUCCACUCUAACCACUAGGCUACCCUGCCGCCUAUACACUCUAACCACUAGGCUACCUUCCGCCCCUACACUCUAACCACUAGGCUACCCUGCCGCCUCUACACUCUAACCACUAGGCUACCCUGCCGCCUCUCCACUCUAACCACUAGGCUACCUGCCGCCCCUCCACUCUAACCACUAGGCUACCUGCCUCCCCACACAGAGAAAGGUCCACGUAUAUUUUUGCUAUGAUAUACAUCAUAUUCCUAACUGCAACUCUAUUUUUCUAACGUGUGGGUAGGCUCAUGUAAAGCCUGUUUUCAGAUGAAACAUGAUGAAGCCUUUUGUUUUUAGUAAUAAAAUGGUAUAAUUCAGUUCAUGUUCCCUCGUUGCUAAGAUACACCCUCACUGUUCUGUCAGCCUGCCUGAUGGGUAGCCUGGAAUCCAGGAUGUCUUAACAUUCCACUCCUUGCCACUGUUUGGCAUGACAAGGAUUGGCAAGGAGUGGAAUGUUAGCACAAAGAUGACUGGAUUUCAGGCUACGUGUCGGUCAGACUGUUGGAAACCGUUCAGAACCACAAAUAUUGUCAGAAUGAACGUGAAACACUUUUAAAUCAUGUUUUUAGUUUUGGACAAGUCCCUGAAAUUAACGCCUUUAUUCAAUUGAACCUGAAUUCAUUUUUUCCAUCUGAAAAUGGAACUAGCAGAUCUAUCCAGAUGUCUCUUUUACUUUCUUUUGGCACAAUGCCUUUUUAGUUAUGACCCUCACUGACGUUCAGUUGUCGUGGCCCCCAGUCUGUUCUGGUUAUGACCCUCACUGACGUUCAGUUGUCGUGGCCCCCAGUCUGUUCUGGUUAUGACCCUCACUGACGUUCAGUUGUCGUGGCCCCCAGUCUGUUCUGG
ensembl:lncRNA